rnacentral:rRNA from 1 species
CGCUGGCGGCGUGCCUAACACAUGCAAGUCGAACGGGGUGAGAUCCUCGGGGUUUCACUUAGUGGCGAACGGGUGAGUAACGCGUGAGAAACCUGCCUUUCAGUGGGGGACAACAGUUGGAAACGACUGCUAAUACCGCAUAACGUAUAUUGGGGGCAUCCCUGGUAUACCAAAGCUUUAUGUGCUGAAAGAUGGUCUCGCGUCUGAUUAGCUAGAUGGCGGGGUAACGGCCCACCAUGGCGACGACCAGUAGCCGGUCUGAGAGGAUGAACGGCCACAUUGGGACUGAGAUACGGCCCAGACUCCUACGGGAGGCAGCAGUGGGGAAUAUUGCACAAUGGGGGAAACCCUGAUGCAGCGACGCCGCGUGAGCGAUGAAGUAUUUCGGUAUGUAAAGCUCUAUCAGCAGGGAAGAAAAUGACGGUACCUGACUAAGAAGCCCCGGCUAACUACGUG